UACGGGGGGGGCAAGCGUUGUCCGGAAUUACUGGGCGUAAAGGGCUCGUAGGUGGCCAACUAAGUCAGACGUGAAAUCCCUCGGCUUAACCGGGGAACUGCGUCUGAUACUGGAUGGCUUGAGUUCGGGAGAGGGAUGCGGAAUUCCAGGUGUAGCGGUGAAAUGCGUAGAUAUCUGGAGGAACACCGGUGGCGAAGGCGGCAUCCUGGACCGACACUGACGCUGAGGCGCGAAAGCUAGGGGAGCAAACGGG
rnacentral:rRNA from 1 species